rnacentral:rRNA from 1 species
UACGAAGGGGGCUAGCGUUGCUCGGAAUCACUGGGCGUAAAGCGCACGUAGGCGGAUUGCUAAGUCAGGGGUGAAAUCCUGGAGCUCAACUCCAGAACUGCCUUCGAUACUGAAGAGCUCGAGUCCGGGAGAGGUGAGUGGAACUGCGAGUGUAGAGGUGAAAUUCGUAGAUAUUCGCAAGAACACCAGUGGCGAAGGCGGCUCACUGGCCCGGUACUGACGCUGAGGUGCGAAAGCGUGGGGAGCAAACAGGG